CCUACGGGAGGCAGCAGUGAGGAAUAUUGGUCAAUGGGCGCGAGCCUGAACCAGCCAAGUAGCGUGAAGGAUGACUGCCCUACGGGUUGUAAACUUCUUUUAUAAAGGAAUAAAGUGAGGCACGUGUGCCUUUAUGUAUGUACUUUAUGAAUAAGAAUCGGCUAACUCCGUGCCAGCAGCCGCGGUAAUACGGAGGAUCCAAGCGUUAUCCGGAUUUAUUGGGUUUAAAGGGCGCGUAGAUGGGUUGUUAAGUCAGUUGUGAAAGUUUGCGGCUCAACCGUAAAAUUGCAAUUGAUACUGGCAGUCUUGAGUACAGUUGAGGUAGGCGGAAUUCGUGGUGUAGCGGUGAAAUGCUUAGAUAUCACGAAGAACUCCGAUUGCGAAGGCAGCUUACUAAACUGCCACUGACAUUGAUGCUCGAAAGUGUGGGUAUCAAACAGGAUUAGAUACCCGUGUAGUC
rnacentral:rRNA from 1 species